AUUGAACGCUGGCGGCAUGCCUUACACAUGCAAGUCGAACGGCAGCACGGGUGCUUGCACCUGGUGGCGAGUGGCGAACGGGUGAGUAAUACAUCGGAACAUGUCCUGUAGUGGGGGAAAGCCCGCCGAAAGCCGGAUUAAUACCGCAUACGAUCUACGUAGGAAAGCGGGGGCCCUUCGGGCUUCGCGCUAUAGGGUUGGCCGAUGGCUGAUUAGCUAGUUGGUGGGGUAAAGGCCUACCAAGGCGACGAUCAGUAGCUGGUCUGAGAGGACGACCGGCCACACUGGGACUGAGGCACGGCCCAGACUCCUACGGGAGGCAGCAGUGGGGAAUUUUGGACAAUGGGCGAAAGCCUGAUCCAGCAAUGCCGCGUGUGUGAAGAAGGCCUUCGGGUUGUAAAGCACUUUUGUCCGGAAAGAAAUCCUUGGCUCUAAUACAGUCGGGGGAUGACGGUACCGGAAGAAUAAGCACCGGCUAACUACGUG
rnacentral:rRNA from 1 species